rnacentral:rRNA from 1 species
GACGAACCGUGCGAACGUUGUUCGGAAUCACUGGGCUUAAAGGGCGCGUAGGCGGGUCAGCAAGUCCGGGGUGAAAUCUUUCGGCUCAACCGGAAAAGUGCCUUGGAUACUGCUGGUCUUGAGGGAGGUAGGGGUUUGUGGAACUUCUGGUGGAGCGGUGAAAUGCGUUGAUAUCAGAAGGGACGCCGGUGGCGAAAGCGACGAACUGGACCUCUUCUGACGCUGAGGCGCGAAAGCUAGGGGAGCAAACGGG